CCUACGGGGGGCAGCAGUGAGGAAUAUUGGUCAAUGGACGAGAGUCUGAUCCAGCCACGUAGCGUGAAGGAUGACUGGCCUAUGCGUUGUAAACUUCUUUUAUAUGGGAGUAAAAUGUUCCACGUGUGGGAUUUUGUCUGUACCACUAGAAUAAGGAUCGGCUAACUACGUGCCAGCAGCCGCGGUAAUACGGAGGUUCCGAGCGUUAUCCGGAUUUAGUGGGUUUAAAGGGAGCGUAGGUGGAUUGUUAAGUCAGUUGUGAAAGUUUGCGGCUCAACCGUAAGAUUGCAGUUGAAACUGGCAGUCUUGAGUACAGUAGAGGUGGGCGGAAUUCGUGGUGUAGCGGUGAAAUGCUUAGAUAUCACGAAGAACUCCGAUGGCGAAGGCAGUUCACUGGACUGCAACUGACACUGAGGCUCGAAAGUGUGGGUAUCAAACAGGAUUAGAUACCCGUGUAGUC
rnacentral:rRNA from 1 species